rnacentral:misc_RNA from 1 species
AAGUCGUAACAAGGUUUCCGUAGGUGAACCUGCGGAAGGAUCAUUAUCGUGUGGGGGACUUUGUCCCGGUGGGCAUUCGGGCCUAAUACCGACCCACGCAUCCGUUGGGACGCCUGCGGACUGGCGAUUUCCCUGAAGGUAUUAGGUUCGGAUGCCUACCUCUAACCUCACCCUUGCCCUUUUCUACGCACCAUUUGUUUCCUCGGCAACUCCGCAGCAACUGCCAAUGAGGACCCCUAAAAACCUUCUGCAAUCUUAGUAUAACAUUCUGAAAAUAAAACAAUAUUAAAA